rnacentral:rRNA from 1 species
CCUACGGGGUGCAGCAGUGGGGAAUAUUGCGCAAUGGGCGAAAGCCUGACGCAGCGACGCCGCGUGAGGGAUGAAGGUCUUCGGAUCGUAAACCUCUGUCAGCAGGGAAGAACGGUCACUGUGCUAAUCAGCAGUGAAUUGACGGUACCUGCAAAGGAAGCACCGGCUAACUCCGUGCCAGCAGCCGCGGUAAUACGGAGGGUGCGAGCGUUAAUCGGAAUUACUGGGCGUAAAGCGCUCGUAGGCGGUAUGUCAAGUCAAGGGGGAAAUCCCCGGGCUCAACGUGGGAACUGCCUUUGAAACUGGCAAACUGGAGUGUGUGAGAGGAUAGUGGAAUUCCAGGUGUAGGAGUGAAAUCCGUAGAUAUCUGGAGGAACAUCAGUGGCGAAGGCGACUAUCUGGCACAUAACUGACGCUGAGGAGCGAAAGCGUGGGUAGCAAACAGGAUUAGAUACCCCAGUAGUC